rnacentral:rRNA from 1 species
UAGAGUUUGAUCCUGGCUCAGGACGAACGCUGGCGGCGUGCUUAACACAUGCAAGUCGAGCGAUGAAGCACCUUCGGGUGUGGAUUAGCGGCGAACGGGUGAGGAACACGUGAGGAAUCUGCCUUCCACUCUGGGAUAACUCCGGGAAACCGGGGCUAAUACCGGAUACUUUCAACUGGCGGCAUCGCCGGUUGAAGAAAGUUUUUCGGUGGAAGAUGACCUCGCGGCCUAUCAGCUUGUUGGUGAGGUAAAGGCUCACCAAGGCGACGACGGGUAGCCGGCCUGAGAGGGCGACCGGCCACACUGGGACUGAGACACGGCCCAGACUCCUACGGGAGGCAGCAGUGGGGAAUAUUGGGCAAUGGAGGAAACUCUGACCCAGCGACGCCGCGUGAGGGAUGAAGGCCUUCGGGUUGUAAACCUCUUUCAGCAGGGAAUAAGCGAAAGUGAAGGUACCUGCAGAAGAAGCACCGGCUAACUAUGUGCCAGCAGCCGCGGUAAUACAUAGGGUGCAAGCGUUGUCCGGAAUUAUUGGGCGUAAAGAGCUCGUAGGUGGUCGAUCACGUCGGAUGUGAAAUUCUGAGGCUUAACCUCGGACCUGCAUUCGAUACGGGUUGACUAGAGUGUGGUAGGGGAGACUGGAAUUCCUGGUGUAGCGGUGGAAUGCGCAGAUAUCAGGAGGAACACCGAUGGCGAAGGCAGGUCUCUGGGCCAUUACUGACACUGAGGAGCGAAAGCGUGGGGAGCGAACAGGAUUAGAUACCCUGGUAGUCCACGCCGUAAACGGUGGGCGCUAGUUGUGGGAACCUUCCACGGUUUCUGCGACGCAGCUAACGCAUUAAGCGCCCGCCGGGGAGUACGGUCGCAAGACUAAACUCAAAGAAAUUGACGGGGCCCGCACAAGCAGCGGAGCAUGCGCUUAAUUCGACGCAACGCGAAGACCUUUACCAGCUUGACAUUAUACAGGGAAUACGGCGAGAUGUCGUAAACCGCAAGGUCUGUAUACGGGUGGUGCU